UGAAAGCCAGGCCACUGACUGAAUGAUUAAGUCUGUGCUGGACAUGACAAUGAAUUUAACCCUCUUGCCAGCCUAGGAGAGCACACAGAUGCAGGAAGAGGAUUGAAAACCUACUUUUCAAUUUUCUCUUCUUCCUCACCCCUGCUCUAAUUUGCCUGACCUGUUUCCUUUCAAAACCUUGCUGUUAUCAGUACCUUGUCCAUUUUCACUCUGUUUCUCUUUGUAGACUAAUUCCUUGCUGCUUCCUCAUGGGAGAUAAACUCAUGCUCAUGUAAGAAGAACAUCUGUCUUGGGCUAGGAGGAGCACAGGAAGAUGCCUUUAUCUCAAGAGCUAGGAAAUAAGGCAACUGUAUUAAAUUGUCAAGGGAGGACAGCAGACCAACAAGGAUGAAGAAGCUUGAAAAAUUCUUCAUUGCAGGGUCCACUCAUUGUCUCUAAUGAUUUGCUGCUCCUCAAAAGAAUGUCUACACUCCCGAUCGCCCCUUUUGCCAUGAGAAAAGUUGAUUUUCACUGAACCUUCAGAGGGUGAAGAGGAAGCUUUUCCUUGACUUCUACACAGGCUGGAAAUAAAUAACCUCCGCUUAGGACACCCCUGGCAGGGGCUUUCCAAACCACUUCCAACCCUGGAGAGAAAGAUAAUGAUGUGCCCAAACAAAUCAAUGGUCCCUACUUGCACCUAUCAAACUGGCCAUGCCCAUGCCCAUUCUGGGCCCAUAUGGAAGCUCUCUUUGCACCUUUUGGUUGACCUCUGAGGAGCAGCUUGGAUACCUUCUUCCCCUUAACACUGUAGAGGCUCUCUGCAACAGAACUCCCUACAUCUCACAGCACCAGCCUCCGUUCUCCUACCAAGUGUGAUUUGUGUGUCUAGCCUUCUCUAGGACUUCUGCCAGAUUGGCCUCUCUUCAGGUACAGCUAGGAGAGCCACAUUCAAAACCAAGAAGAGAAAGGAGUCAUAGAGCCACAGCCAGAAUGUUUAGGAUCCAAGGUGGCUGCCAGGACUCCAGAUGUCACAUCCCUUUCCCAAGCAGCAGGAUGGAGAGAGAAAGAGAGAAGGUCGUCCAGUCUCUCUUUGAAAAGACUUCCUGGAAGAAUUGCACAUCUGCAGAUGUUCCGUGGAGCAUCAUCACCAAAAAUGCACACGAAACUGCCACUAGAAGCAAAUGGAGGAAGCACACAGCAGGACUGGGUGUCUUUAAUUGCCAUUGCGGUGAGAGGUUUAUUUGCUCUUUUAAACAAUUAAUUCUAACGUGUACUUGAGUCGCUAGUAACUAAUAUCUGUAUAGGUAGAAAUACUUUAAAUAAAUGGCAAUGAUCAUACUGGAAUGCACAAAUAACAGGCUAUUUGACCUGGAAGGAGAGUUUCAUAGUCAUUGAAUCUAAUAUGCUUAUUUGACUAACAGAACGUGUGUCCAUCUGCACCACGUGAAUGAUUUGCGGCACAGCCGGGACCUGGCUCAGUUCUCUUGACACAUACAUCAACUCACAAGCACUGAAGUGGCAAGGCUGUUUGCAGAAGACAUUUAAGGCAAAAAUAGAUUGCAUCUUAAAAUCUCCUUACAGGACAUAGGUGGCACAUUGAAGAAAGCUUCAAUGCAACAAUAAUUUACAAUAACAUGGGCACAGUAAUGGAAAACAGCAAAGAACUGUGAGGAACUUUGCUGGCACUUUUUCCAGGGCCAGCAGCUGGAAAGAGGGGCCACAAAACAUCAGCAAGGAAACUGCUGUUCUAAAAGAAAGACACAAGAAGCUGUGCUUCCAGAAGAGAAAAGUAGUCACUGCCACCCCAGGAACCUGGCAUGGAGGGAUGCAGUGGUGUAAUACCACUCUCUCCUUGCACCACCCACAAGCCCAGCCCAUCCUGGGGACAGACGCAUGCUGAAAGUGGAGGUCGGGUCUGGAAGGGCAAAAGCAGAUGGCCCAGCAUAGCCCACCACUUUUCUUUGUCAACAUCAAGUAUUUCUGUGUCUGUACGAAAAACCAAGGUUCUGUCCCAGGGAAAUGACGGAGUCCCAUCAGCUACAGGAUCAUAACAAGGAGAUGUCAAUUCAGUCAUACUCGCCUGAAAGCUACAGCACCUUGAACG
rnacentral:lncRNA from 1 species